GUUUUGGUGCCGACUCGGGUCUCGGUCAAACCGCGGUCAACGGUCAGAAUCGGGUUCGGGUCAGCGGGUUAAACACGAGCCACGGGUGACAUCGGUGUUCCAUCAUCCUAACCUCACACUCGUCGACACUUGGAUAAUCGGAAGAAAUUGCAAUAAUGUUGAUGAUGAUGAAAUGAAAGAGGUAGCACGAUGCCUAG